AACAAGUCAGUUGAGACAGAUUGGUCAGCCAUGAAGACAGCAUGGAAUUGGGUUGGGAAUAAAACCUCUGAAAGCUGAUAGUGUGAGCUCUGAAAGGUUUUGUUCCUAAUGAAUGUUUAUGGCCAGCCCAAUGUUCAAAGCAGAGUUACUUCCUGAAGCCCUUUACAGGAAAUGACACUGGAGUCAGCACAACUACUUCUGAAAGAGAGUCUUCUCCCUGAAGUGUCUCCACCUCCAUCGUUCAGCCCGGAUACUGAGAUCCAGCUCUGAGGGC